UACGUAGGUGGCAAGCGUUGUCCGGAUUUAUCGGGUUUAAAGGGUGCGUAGGCGGCUUUUUAAGUCAGUGGUGAAAGCCGAUCGCUUAACGAUCGAACUGCCAUUGAUACUGAAAGGCUUGAGUAUAGAUGAGGUAGGCGGAAUUGACAGUGUAGCGGUGAAAUGCAUAGAUAUUGUCAAGAACACCAAUUGCGAAGGCAGCUUACUAAGUUAUAACUGACGCUGAGGCACGAAAGUGCGGGGAUCAAACAGG
rnacentral:rRNA from 1 species